rnacentral:rRNA from 1 species
GGUUAAGCGACUAAGCGUACACGGUGGAUGCCCUGGCAGUCAGAGGCGAUGAAGGACGUGCUAAUCUGCGAUAAGCGUCGGUAAGGUGAUAUGAACCGUUAUAACCGGCGAUUUCCGAAUGGGGAAACCCAGUGUGAUUCGUCACACUAUCAUUAACUGAAUCCAUAGGUUAAUGAGGCGAACCGGGGGAACUGAAACAUCUAAGUACCCCGAGGAAAAGAAAUCAACCGAGAUUCCCCCAGUAGCGGCGAGCGAACGGGGAGCAGCCCAGAGCCUGAAUCAGUGUGUGUGUUAGUGGAAGCGUCUGGAAAGGCGCGCGAUACAGGGUGACAGCCCCGUACACAAAAAUGCACAUGCUGUGAGCUCGAUGAGUAGGGCGGGACACGUGGUAUCCUGUCUGAAUAUGGGGGGACCAUCCUCCAAGGCUAAAUACUCCUGACUGACCGAUAGUGAACCAGUACCGUGAGGGAAAGGCGAAAAGAACCCCGGCGAGGGGAGUGAAAAAGAACCUGAAACCGUGUACGUACAAGCAGUGGGAGCACGCUUAGGCG